rnacentral:piRNA from 1 species
GCUCUCCGCCUGAAUAAAAUGAUGUAGA